GCCCCAUAAGAGCAGGGGCAGUCUAACAUGGCUGGCGCAGACGUUUCUAAUCACGGACCACUACUGUAAAUAUUCUCUAGUCCCGGCCAGUCUCCGAUCUGUGAAGCUAGUGUAUGAGCCUCAUCUGCUUUCUGGAACCCUGGUCCUCCACUUGCGUUCUUGCCUCCUCGCUUGGGAUGCCAGCGGUAACGGGACUGGCUCCCCGUUCUGAUUCUGAACAAGGUUACAGGCCAGUAUGGACUUCACUGCCCAGACUGGAAGUGAACUAGGAGGAAGGGACUGGGAAGAGCAUCUCCAAACACACCCAGAACUGCCGUUGGGUUAUACAUGGACUCUUGGAAGAGAACAGCUACAGGUUUUCAGCGAGGGCUUGAUGGGAGAAAAAGGGAAAAAAGGCUGGACUUCGCUGCGGCUCAUAGUCUCCAGGCAGGAUUCUUGAAGCACACAGGUUGUAACACCCCUACAGCUACCUCGAGGACUUCCUUUAAUGUUUCACCACCAGAGCUUCGUUCUGCUUCCACAAGAGGCUAUGCCAUGCUUCAAAACACUGCAACAGAAAGAAGAGGGGAAAAAAAAAAGAUUUCUAGACAAUCCAGUCUGCAUGAAAUACCUAGGGCAAUUCCUGGCACCAAAGAGGUGUUGAGUGUAAGUUAAAUGGAUUUUUUUAUGUGAUUAUUGAAAAUGUCUUCUACGCCUUCUUCACAAAUACUCACUAUCCCCAAACAAACUACGUUUGUCAACACCAAGGUCGAAACAGUACCACAAAAGAGAAGAUUUCUCUGCUGGGGGGGGGGGGAGCGCGAGGGGGGAAUUUAUGGCUCGAUCUGUGAGUCGUUUGUAAUAAAAUAUCUAAAAAUAUAUGCCUCA
rnacentral:lncRNA from 1 species